AAAUUAGAGUGUUCAAAGCAGGCCUUUGCUCGAAUACAUUAGCAUGGAAUAAUAGAAUAGGACGUGUGGUUCUAUUUUGUUGGUUUCUAGGACCGCCGUAAUGAUUAAUAGGGAUAGUCGGGGGCAUCAGUAUUCAAUCGUCAGAGGUGAAAUUCUUGGAUUGAUUGAAGACUAACUACUGCGAAAGCAUUUGCCAAGGAUGUUUUCAUUGAUCAAGAACGAAAGUUAGGGGAU
rnacentral:rRNA from 1 species